rnacentral:rRNA from 1 species
GUGGGGAAUUUUGGACAAUGGGCGCAAGCCUGAUCCAGCAAUGCCGCGUGUGUGAAGAAGGCCUUCGGGUUGUAAAGCACUUUUGGCAGGAAAGAAAUAGCGCGUGCUAAUACCAUGCGCGAAUGACGGUACCUGCAGAAUAAGCACCGGCUAACUACGUGCCAGCAGCCGCGGUAAGACGUAGGGUGCAAGCGUUAAUCGGAAUUACUGGGCGUAAAGCGUGCGCAGGCGGUUUUGUAAGACAGGUGUGAAAUCCCCGGGCUCAACCUGGGAACUGCACUUGUGACUGCAAGGCUAGAGUGUGUCAGAGGGAGGUGGAAUUCCGCGUGUAGCAGUGAAAUGCGUAGAGAUGCGGAGGAACACCGAUGGCGAAGGCAGCCUCCUGGGAUAACACUGACGCUCAGGCACGAAAGCGUGGGGAGCAAACAGGAUUAGAUACCCUGGUAGUCC